rnacentral:rRNA from 1 species
AAAGGAAUUGACGGGGACCCGCACAAGCGGUGGAGCAUGUGGUUUAAUUCGAAGAUACGCGAAAAACCUUACCUGGCCUUGAUAUCCCAAGAAUCCCGCAGAGACGUGGGAGUGCUUGCUUGCAAGAACUUGGUGACAGGUGCUGCACGGCUGUCGUCAGCUCGUGUCGUGAGAUGUUGGGUUAAGUCCCGCAACGAGCGCAACCCUCGUGUUUAGUUGCUAACGGUUCGGCCGAGCACUCUAAACAGACUGCCUUCGUAAGGAGGAGGAAGGUGAGGACGACGUCAAGUCAUCAUGGCCCUUAUGGCCAGGGCUACACACGUGCUACAAUGGGUAGGACAAUGAGACGCAAUACCGUGAGGUGGAGCAAAUCUAUAAACCUACUCUCAGUUCGGAUUGUUCUCUGCAACUCGAGAACAUGAAGCUGGAAUCGCUAGUAAUCGUAGAUCAGCAUUGCUACGGUGAAUACGUUCCCGGGUCUUGUACACACCGCCCGU